GGAUAACCUUUCUGGGUAGAGUGUCCCAGGUUACAGGCUUUUCACUUUCAGCACUUUGAAUAUAUCAUGCCACUCCCUUCUGACCUGCAAAGUUUCUUCUAAAAAAUAUGCU